CUCUCGAAUCUAUCUGCUGAGUCUUAUCUUUUUCUUUCAAUAUCUCUAACUUAGGAGGUGAGAGAGCAAAACUAAGAGUAAAGAGAAAAAUCAGAGGAAUAUAGUGAGAUCCUACCUUGAAAUUCUGGUUUUUGAUUCGAGGAAAAGAUGGUGAAGUUCGUGAACUCUUGAAUUUGUUAAUCUCAGUAGGAAAUUAAGAUCAUUCGAAUAGGGAAUGGGGUUUAUCGGUGUUGUUGACUGAAUGUUUAAUGUAUCUUUGGCUUUGAUUGGCGAACUUCAGGGGUUAAGGUUUGAGUGCGGUUCGAGGUGGGAAUUUACAUUGUUUUUUGGUAUUUUUGGGAAAUAAACAUUUUUGGAAAAUUCGGCUCGAAAAGCUGCAAAAGGC